AAAUUGAAGAGUUUGAUCAUGGCUCAGAUUGAACGCUGGCGGCAGGCCUAACACAUGCAAGUCGAACGGUAACAGGAAGCAGCUUGCUGUUUCGCUGACGAGUGGCGGACGGGUGAGUAAUGUCUGGGAAACUGCCUGAUGGAGGGGGAUAACUACUGGAAACGGUGGCUAAUACCGCAUAACGUCGCAAGACCAAAG
rnacentral:rRNA from 1 species